CUAACCGCAAGGGAGGAGCAGCCUAAGGUGAAGCCAGCGACUAGGGUGAAGUCGUAACAAGGUAGCCGUAUCGGAAGGUGCGGCUGGAUCACCUCCUUU
rnacentral:rRNA from 1 species